UCGUGGCCGAGUGGUUAAGGCGUUGGACUCGAAAUCCAAUGGGGUCUCCCCGCACAGGUUCGUUCUUUCUUAUAGAUCAAUAUCCUACUGGCAAAU